GCACUGUCUAGUGCACAGGCAACCUAGCCUUGGCCUCCUAGCCCGAGAAGCCGAAUCUCCCUAAUCCCUGUGACCUGUGUCACCUCUGCAUCGCGAGGAGGGGGAUAAGUGGGGAGAAGUCUGAUGUCAGAUGGGAUGGCGCCGGAAAAGGGUGCCACAGCGGGGACGGAAGGCGCCCCCACCCCAACUCCACGGGAAUAUAAACAAUUUGUAUUUUCCGAUCAGGUGGCGGGACAGGCUUCAUUGGGACAGCCCUAACCCAGCUGCUGAAUGCCAGAGGCCACGAAGUGACGUUGGUCUCCCGAAAACCCGGGCCCGGCCGGAUCACGUGGGUAAGUCCAUCCUCUGGAAGCGGGUGGGAGGGCAGAGUUGGGCGGCGCAGGGCGGGGCAGGGGUACUGGGUGCUUUCUCCGACAGGAUGAGCUCGCUGCAUCGGGGCUGCCGAGCUGCGAUGCCGCCGUCAACCUGGCCGGAGAGAACAUCCUCAACCCUCUCCGAAGGUCAGCCCGGGCCCUAAAGCUGAUACCCACUAGAGCACAGGGAGGAAAGUGCCCCACUGAUGAGAACCUGUGAGCUAUGGAUGGAAUGAAACCUUCCAAAAAGAGGUUCUCGGCAGCCGCCUAGAGACCACCCAAUUGCUGGCUAAAGCCAUCACCAAAGCCCCACAACCCCCCAAGGCCUGGGUCUUAGUCACAGGUGUAGCUUACUACCAGCCCAGUCUGACUGCGGAGUAUGAUGAAGACAGCCCAGGAGGGGACUUUGACUUUUUCUCCAA
rnacentral:sRNA from 1 species